UCUCCGCUCCGUCACGAUACGUGAAACUCAAGUCUGUAGAAGUUCAGUACCAUCGUUUUUGGUGGUGCCCGUGAAUAAAUUUUGUGAAUCUGCAUCAAAUGACCAACAAAGCAAUACUAACGUGACUGGAAUUUGUACUUUUUUGGUUUCUAUCAAUUAAGCAGAAUAUAGAUAUAAAUUUCCCCAAAGAGGAAAUGUUUCCACCAUGGGUGCCUAAAAAACAAACACAACACCGCCAUACAUAUUAACCAUCAAAAUAAAUAAAUAAAUAAAUCACAGACAGAGGGGAGAAGGGGACCCCAAAAAAAGAAAAAGAAAAAAAAAGGAAAACAAACCACACUCUAAAAAGAUUUUAAGUCCCCACCCCCUCCUCACUUAACAUGAGGACAAGUUCAGACAAAUAAGGCCGUGUGUUAGAGGGUCUUGCUGAGCAAAGCCAUACAAAGGAAAUUUCCAGAUAGUCUUCACUCUCUGCAAUUUGCUGUUUGGCCAAAAUGAGCUGCCUUUAGACUGGAUAGUUCUGUGAGAGGGGUUAAAGUAUAACAGAUUGACUAAUGUCACAACCAGCCCAUCUCCGAAUGAUACUUUCAGACCACGUUGUCCAGAAACUGACACUACCAUCUUGAAUACCUGGAACAGUUGGAGAACUUCAUUCCGUUGUUCGAGAUACAUUUGGGAAUUGUGGGGAUUUCUGUUUGCAUUACAAGGAUGCUGAUUUUGGCAAUGACUUUUUCUCCUUGCUUUCAACAACUGACACAAUGAAUAAGGACACUAUCAAGGUUGUGCGUAUCCAGGAACCCCCUACAGUAACUUU